rnacentral:rRNA from 1 species
CUCUUAGGGUUUCCUCUGGGGUAAGUGAUUGCUUCUACACUGUGAAAAUUUGGCUGAGAGACUCAGACUGGUCAUGGGUAGACCUAUCUGGGGUUUGAUCGAUGCCACUCCUGGUUUCAGGAGCACCCUUCAUAAUAAACCUAGAAAUUCAGUAUUAUAAAGUUUAAUAAAAAACAACUUUUAACAAUGGAUCUCUUGGUUCUCGCAUCGAUGAAGAACGUAGCAAAGUGCGAUAACUAGUGUGAAUUGCAUAUUCAGUGAAUCAUCGAGUCUUUGAACGCAGCUUGCACUCUAUGGUUUUUCUAUAGAGUACGCCUGCUUCAGUAUCAUCACAAACCCACACAUAACAUUUGUUUAUGUGGUAAUGGGUCGCAUCGCUGUUUUAUUACAGUGAGCACCUAAAAUGUGUGUGAUUUUCUGUCUGGCUUGCUAGGCAGGAAUAUUACGCUGGUCUCAGGAUCUUUUUCUUUGGUUCGCCCAGGAAGUAAAGUACAAGAGUAUAAUCCAGCAACUUUCAAACUAUGAUCUGAAGUCAGGUGGGAUUACCCGCUGAA